UAGAGACCUUUUUCAACUGCCACAACUCUUCAAAAAUGACAGUGACCUUGCCAGCACUUGCUUCUUCAGGACUCUUAUGUUCAUUAGUAACAAAGCAAUGAGAAGAAUACCUGUCAGAUUUUGGUUGCCUCUAAACUUCCUAAACACAUGGGAGCAAGUGAAUGUUCUAUCAGUGGUGCUGGUUCCACAACUGUGAUGUAAAUAAAUCCCAGGUGUUGUGAUGUUACAUAUUUGACUGCACAGCUGCUAACACUUUCCUGUGAUGUGUAUCUUCAUAUUUGUAGGAGCUUCCUAUCUAUAAGAGAUGAUCUGCAAGCGGAGACAUACUGAAAAUCUUCAUGGAAGGUCUGCUGCUGAUGAUUAUAAUGCCUCUGCAUUUAUUGUCAAUGCGAACCCUGCAACCAGCUCUUUUCUUCAUCUCUCCCAGGUCUCACAAACUGAGAAAACUCCUACAGGGGGAUGCCAUCCAUCUCACACUUUGCUCUGCUCCAUUCUUAUUUGUCUUCCAUAGAUUUCAUAUAGUCCCUAUCCUGCAAAGGGAAUGUCAUAUACACAAGCCAAGGAUGAUACACAGAAUAAAAGAAUCAAGCUUCAAUUACACGAUCUUCAGGCUCAUGAGCAAUUUCACCAGUUGCUUCAUCUCUCCUUCUGUAUUACCCAAUGCUAUAGUCCACUUUCCACUCUAACUGUCAGCUACGUGCUUACAAAAAAUCUGCAGGGCAUAAGGCCUUCAGAAAUUGUUUCAUUAUGAAACAUAACUGCAAAGAAAAAUAGCACUGUUAGCAGAAAGAAUAGACAGCCCUGCAAAACUGAGUCUCAGUCUCGGAUCAUAACUCACAAGAAACAGAGUUAUAGCACCAUCUGCUAGAGUGCUUCCUUCUGCUUUACACUGAUUAAACACAGAGAGAUCUUUUUAUUCUCUCUGAGCAAACGGCAAACAACUGAGUUUACAUAGCAUAUACACUUACACACAUCUUACAUGAAUAGAAGUAUAGUAUUUCAGCUUAACACUCCAUGCUAGUUUAUACGGAGUGAACAUUAGUAACCUUAAUCAUUUACAACUUGUUUUCUUCAUAUCUGAUUACAUGCAAGCUUUCAAGGAAAUGUAGCUACUUGGAACAUUUCAAAGGGUGGCAGUGGGUGAUAGUGGCCAUGAUGGAGCCAGUCCGUGUGAAAAAAAGAACAGCAGUGAGGCCAAAACCAGGUCUAAAACAUGGAUAGGUUAGUUGCCUUGAAACUUGUCAUAAAAGCUCAUCUUAGUCUUUGAAAGAAAUGGAGUCAUUUCUAAGCUCAGUCAGUCCUGGGAGCUACAGCUGUGAUAAUAUUGCUACUAAUAAUAGCUUUAUAAAAGAACAUAGUUGUAAUCCCAGUUAUGGAAAAAGCAAUCAACUCUCCAUGUACAUCUAAAAUGAAGAUUUCUGGAUGUUUCUGUAAAUAAACUUUAAAUGUUCUUGUAAAAUGUUCGAAUUAACAUUAUUGUAGAACAGCUGAGCAUAGGAGUAAGCACCAAAUUUAGUCUACUAAGAUUUAAGUAAUUAAUCUUAGUUUUCAAGCUUGUAGGGAAGAUCUCAUGUUCGUGAAGCUGCCGAAUUGAGAGAGUAUUUCGAUAUUGUUUCUAUGCCUUACCUAGCCCUUCUCAGUCAGCUUGCCUACAGUCAGCUUUGAUGGAUGACAUGUCUUAACGUUCCCCACACCUCAAAUGCAUACAGACACAUUUUCACCCUGGGAUACCGAUGACCAUUUGAUUGUCCAAAGCAGGGUAGCUGCAAGAUGUCACUUCAGUAUAUGCUUUGCUGCAUGACAAGGGUAUUCUCUUUGUGGCUGCUAUACACAUCCAGCACUGUUAGUCACGGAUCAUCAUGCCCAGCAGUUGGGACUGAGUAGCCAGGAGCUGCCACAAAAACAAAAGGGCUCUUUAAAUCUGUGGGCCAGCAGAACUGCUGAAAGGCUUUGCUCAGUCAACUCAGGGUAACUAAACACAGAAAGUUGGUUUUAGGUAUUCUAUUGCCUGGAUCUCAGAGGACAUUAAAAAAAACAACUUCAUAACUUGAGGCAAUGAGCUUGAUAUUGUCCACCACCUCUGCGGGACAGUGCAAUCUUGCAGAGAGUGGGAGUAAAGAUCUAACUUUGAUAUUAGCCUUUCUUCAGGGGGGAAAAAAAUACCUGCUGAGUAACUACGAGAAGAAAUCAACUAGAAAAACACUUGCUUAAUUUUAAACUAACACUAAGUUUUGAUAGGUGUACAGUUUAAGAAGCCCAAGAAUACUGAGGCCUGGGAAAGCAGUGUCCUCAACUAUGUUAACAGUGUAUGUGUAGGGACAUAAGAGUUCCCAGGAAAGGAUCUAAAACCAACAAGCUUUGGAUAGAGAAUCCACUUAACAAAAGGCAUUUAAAAUCUAAGUGAAAGAAGAAGAAAUUUGGAAAUAUUUUCAAAUUUUUAUUUUCUCCUUAGGAAAUUUCAGCUUAGACUCAUAAGACAGUAAUUUCCAUUUUUCUCUUCCAGUUUACUUCCCUUGUGGUGGGAGCAGCAGGUAAAUCUGUUCCACAUUGGCACUUGAAUUUGUUAUCUGUCUUUUAAGGUAGAUUCUGAAUCAUACCAGUGAAGAUUAAAAAUCUUCUUAUAAGAACUUGGUUCCAAUCUCUCAGAAAAUAUUACCUUUAAGGAAUGAAACGAGCAAGGAGAUCUUACAGUUGAUCUUCAUAAGGAACAAAAAACCCUAUUCUCUCACCUUUUGCCACAGUAUUGUCACUUUUGGAAGAGGAGGGGAGACAUGGCCAGGACUGGGGCAUGGCAUUUGCGUGAAAUAGACUGUCAACAGACACAUGCACCCAUGUGUUAUGAAGAGUUAGGAAAGUUAGAGGAAAGUUUUCAAACCUUUUACAAAUUCAUGGAGACUUAAUGUCUCACUUUCUGAAAGUACAAGAUUGAGACCAUGACAAAAAAAGCACAGUGUUACCACUUUAUUUGCAUUCAACCUUAUUUUAUACCAUUGCUAAAAAGUCCUUAUUGUGUCCUUAAAACAAAUUUAAAAUUAUUCCCUUUAGUGUGUGGUGUUAUUAAGAAAAUCCAAAAAUAAAUGACUUAGAAAUGCAGGAGAAAAAGAGUUGCUGCAAACCUCAUACAUAAUCCCAGAUCUGAGUGAGCACUGAAGCUUGCAGGCAAUGAACUGGUCUGAGAAUUUAAGAGAUCUGCAUUUUAUGCUCUACUUUAUCACUUACAUUGAUAUCAGGCUCUACUUUAUCAGAAACUUUCAGUUCCUGAGAAACCAUUUUGCUGUACUGUAAAUCUCUUCAUUUAUAAAAUGGGGAUAAUGCCAGCAAUCUACUUUCAAAAGAAGCCUAUAGUGUAUGGGAGGAAAUUAGCAGAUAUUAUGAUUACACUGUAAUACACGAAUGGAUUCUUUUCUUCUUUGUAGCACUGGGGAUUAGCAGUGAACUGCUGGUUAAUACUGUGGCUAUGGAAAACAGAGAAUUUAGAGAAAAGACAGAUUAGGCUAAUUGGCUAGGCAAUUCCAUUCCUUUUCUCCAUCCAUGAAAGGUGUGAUACCAUCUAGUUUUAGCCUGAAACCGCUUUAGUCACAGACCUCGCAGGGAGACGUCUAAGCAGCUCCUUUGAGGAGGCAUUUGCAGCUCCCAAGACUCCCAUAAAACUCAGUUUUAUGCUGACCUGCUAGACUACAUUGCUUUUCCUGAAGUCCUAUUUUUGUAUUGUCCCGGGCUUUUCAUUAUCUACACUGCAGUACAAGUCAUCCUUUUGGUUUUAACUGAAUAGUAGGCAUUUGAAACGGAAUGUCAUGUGAAUUUGCUUAGAAACACAUUUGCUGUGCCUAAGCUGCUUGACACAACCUCUUCCUGCAUGAUUUUACCUCCACAAGUCAUGCCAUGCUGAUAUGAAUUGUGUCCCAGGACAGAUACCUCACAAGGAACGGUUCGUGUUUCUGCUGGCACAUUCUAUUUGCCUUCACAGUAGCUCCAGAAAGCUGCACGGUCAGAAUGAUUCUUGGAAUAUUUUAACUCCCAAACAAUGGUGUAAAAAUCAUUCCAGCAAUCAUAUCAAGACUUUGUCAGUAUACAUGAGGAAUGUUUCUGUGAACUCGUUAAUUUGCCAAGAUAAAUGUGACCCCAUACACUAAUUAUGAAGUAACUGCAGUGUUUAACAUUGUCACCAUGCUCUAUAAGCAAGUAAUGAAGAAGAAAGUAGGCAGAGGAAGAAAGGUGGCAAGGUGAAAUAGCUUGGGUCCUGUAAAAUCUUUCCCUAGUUAACUUUGUGUACUUAAAGUUCCUCAAACGUAGAAUUGAAUUUUUGUAAGAAGUGCAAAAUACUGUGUUGAUUACUCUAAGAACAAGAAAUUGAUUCAGAAAAGGUAAAUAUUGGAAUCUGACUAAUUUUCAUUAGCGAAGAUCUUUCAGCAAAACAAAAACAAUCAGAAAAAUAGUAAGGUGAAUUAGGAGAGGGGAAAGAGGUCAAAUAGUGGGCAGAUAUUGAGAGGAAGACAUGAAGGAUCUAAUUAGCACUGAAAUUCCAUAUGUGAUUGAUUACCUGGAGGAGAAAGCAAUUAGUUGACAAAUAUGGAUUGCACAAUUGGCACUGUUUUGUGAUUUUCUUGAAAGUUUGAUAUCUGUACUGUUGUCAUUUUUGCUGUGCUUUUUUUCCACCUGAAAGCCCCUACUUCUGGCAUUAUGGAAUGAAUGAAGGGCCUAAAAUCUUACUAAAGAUUAAUCAAAACAACAUUGAAAAUUGAUUUAUAACCUUUAUAGAUGCAAAACUAAAGCUUUUUAAAAACAGCCUUUCCUUGUAAGGCCUGAAGAACCAGGAAGCAAAUACAGAGAGCCAGUCACAUUACAGUGUGAAAUGUCACAAUCAUUUGGUACCUGAUUCAAGAUUUUUGAGUCCAAGAAUUUGAGAAAGACCAAGGCCUACUGUAACCUGCAUCUAGAAAAAAAAAAGAUUGUUGCAUCUGCUUUCUCCUGGUGUCUUGGGAAAAUGAUAGUUGUUAGUGUUAGGGAUGUAAUUUCUGUCAGGUAUGUCAACAGAAGAAAAUGUCAGAUAAUUCCAGAAGGUAGCCACACGCAUUCAGUAAACACUAGCUCAACCCAGCAUGAAAAAAAUUCCUGCAUUUUUUAUUUCACUAGUUUUUUUGGGAGGGGCUAUGGUAUGCAUUCUUAAUUUUUGUUUCAGGUGGAGCAUUUAUUGUUAAACACAAAUCCCUACCUGCUUUUAUGAAUCUUGUCUCCUCAUCACUUGUGCAUCCAGCUGCCCAUCAGAGAUGGGCAGAGAUGCCAAAUGAUACAUGUAAUAUACAUCAUUUCAUUAUUAUUUCCUAAUUUCAUUAUGCUUUUUUCUGCUCAUUUGGAAAAGUGAGAAAGUGAAGACAGAGCCAGAAGCAUUAGAUAAGCCUGUCAUGAGAUGAUGAGCCAGGGAGAUACCAAUAAUGAAUAUACUCCCUGUGCUACAGAGAGCAAAGUGAGAGGAGGGAAAAAAGAAAAGAAAAAUGAACAAACAAACAACACACACACACACAAAAUUAAACUUCUAGCUCAGAGAAUAUAAAUUUCUUGUGAGAUCUGAAAUGUUGCUGAACAUUGUCUCCUGAGGAUGUACAGACGUCGUUCAACAGGUGACAGGGAAGCUUACUGCACAAGGCUGAGAAGGGAAUGCUGUGGCACAAGGUAUUCUGCUCUCCUCCAAUAGCCAUUACUCUAGGAGAAAAUAUUUCUCUCCUUAUUAUUCCCAGAUAACUUCUUGCAUAUAGUAGGGAUCUACAAGCAGGCAAAAUUCAUGAGGGUGAAUAAAGGAAUGAAAUGAGACUUUUAAACUACUUGUUCUAUACUGUGGGAAUAGAAUGUUGUUUCUUUAUCAGAACAAAAUAAGAAUUUUGUUAAUUUCAUGGCCUCUGCUACCAUUUGGGUCCUUUAUUAGAACUAAUAGUUCUUUUCAGGGGGCCUUUCUACUUUAUUGGGGUUCUCUGAUAAGUUUUCAUUGCUAAUCUCCUAGAUAAAUCUUCGCCAACAACACAUACUCAGUAUAUACGUAUAGUAAUAUGUAUGUAUAUAUAUAUCCGUAGAGAUUAGGUAGAUAGAGUAAAUUAUAAGAAUAGAGAAUUAAAGGAUAUAUAUAUAUAAGCUAGUAACAACUUAUGUAUAGCCAGCAUUGAAAAUAUAUGUCACACACAUUGCAAGAGUAUCCUGUGCAAAUUAAAAGGACAAUUGGUUACAUGCCUCAGGGAGUGCCUGAAGAAGGUAUUGAGGAAGAUCAGGCACCUCCCCUCCGUACUCUUUCUUUAACAAAGACUGAAGAAAAUCACCUUAUCAAUAUGAACAAGAAGAGUGUUGAGACAUCUUGGAGAUGACAGGACUGACACCAGAUAACAAAUAAAUUAACAAAUGUAAACCUUCUGAUAAGAGUGUGAACCUGGAGUACCUAGCCAGUGGGGAAACAGGGGAGGGGGGGAAGGCAAGGAUAUAAAGGCUGUCAUGUUGUGUCCAUAGGUGCGCUCCUGCUUGCGGGAUGCCCGCCACUGCAAUCACGAAUAAAAUCUGCUUUUAUCAGAGAUAUCAUCCUGACAAAAAUUAUUUGGAUAUUUC